UGUGAGGCAUGCUGGAGGUAUCAGAAGUGCGAAUGCUGACAUAAGUAACGAUAAAGCGGGUGAAAAGCCCGCUCGCCGGAAGACCAAGGGUUCCUGUCCAACGUUAAUCGGGGCAGGGUGAGUCGACCCCUAAGGCGAGGCCGAAAGGCGUAGUCGAUGGGAAACAGGUUAAUAUUCCUGUACUUGGUGUUACUGCGAAGGGGGGACGGAGAAGGCUAUGUUGGCCGGGCGACGGUUGUCCCGGUUUAAGCGUGUAGGCUGGUUUUCCAGGCAAAUCCGGGAAAUCAAGGCUGAGGCGUGAUGACGAGGCACUACGGUGCUGAAGCAACAAAUGCCCUGCUUCCAGGAAAAGCCUCUAAGCAUCAGGUAACAUCAAAUCGUACCCCAAACCGACACAGGUGGUCAGGUAGAGAAUACCAAGGCGCUUGAGAGAACUCGGGUGAAGGAACUAGGCAAAAUGGUGCCGUAACUUCGGGAGAAGGCACGCUGAUAUGUAGGUGAAGUCCCUCGCGGAUGGAGCUGAAAUCAGUCGAAGAUAUCAGCUGGCUGCAACUGUUUAUUAAAAACACAGCACUGUGCAAACACGAAAGUGGACGUAUACGGUGUGACGCCUGCCCGGUGCCGGAAGGUUAAUUGAUGGGGUUAGCGGUAACGCGAAGCUCUUGAUCGAAGCCCCGGUAAACGGCGGCCGUAACUAUAACGGUCCUAAGGUAGCGAAAUUCCUUGUCGGGUAAGUUCCGACCUGCACGAAUGGCGUAAUGAUGGCCAGGCUGUCUCCACCCGAGACUCAGUGAAAUUGAACUCGCUGUGAAGAUGCAGUGUACCCGCGGCAAGACGGAAAGACCCCGUGAACCUUUACUAUAGCUUGACACUGAACAUUGAGCCUUGAUGUGUAGGAUAGGUGGGAGGCUUUGAAGUGUGGACGCCAGUCUGCAUGGAGCCGACCUUGAAAUACCACCCUUUAAUGUUUGAUGUUCUAACGUUGACCCGUAAUCCGGGUUGCGGACAGUGUCUGGUGGGUAGUUUGACUGGGGCGGUCUCCUCCUAAAGAGUAACGGAGGAGCACGAAGGUUGGCUAAUCCUGGUCGGACAUCAGGAGGUUAGUGCAAUGGCAUAAGCCAGCUUGACUGCGAGCGUGACGGCGCGAGCAGGUGCGAAAGCAGGUCAUAGUGAUCCGGUGGUUCUGAAUGGAAGGGCCAUCGCUCAACGGAUAAAAGGUACUCCGGGGAUAACAGGCUGAUACCGCCCAAGAGUUCAUAUCGACGGCGGUGUUUGGCACCUCGAUGUCGGCUCAUCACAUCCUGGGGCUGAAGUAGGUCCCAAGGGUAUGGCUGUUCGCCAUUUAAAGUGGUACGCGAGCUGGGUUUAGAACGUCGUGAGACAGUUCGGUCCCUAUCUGCCGUGGGCGCUGGAGAACUGAGGGGGGCUGCUCCUAGUACGAGAGGACCGGAGUGGACGCAUCACUGGUGUUCGGGUUGUCAUGCCAAUGGCACUGCCCGGUAGCUAAAUGCGGAAGAGAUAAGUGCUGAAAGCAUCUAAGCACGAAACUUGCCCCGAGAUGAGUUCUCCCUGACUCCUUGAGAGUCCUGAAGGAACGUUGAAGACGACGACGUUGAUAGGCCGGGUGUGUAAGCGCAGCGAUGCGUUGAGCUAACCGGUACUAAUGAACCGUGAGG
rnacentral:rRNA from 1 species